CUGACGCAGCAACGCCGCGUGCACGAUGACGGCCUUCGGGUUGUAAAGUGCUUUUUGAAAGGAUGAGGAAGGACAGUACUUUCAGAAUAAGCUUCGGCUAACUACGUGCCAGCAGCCGCGGUAAAACGUAGGAAGCGAGCGUUAUCCGGAUUUACUGGGCGUAAAGCGUGUGUAGGCGGUUUGAUAAGUUGGAUGUGAAAGCUCCUGGCUUAACUGGGAGAGGUCGUUCAAAACUGUCAGACUCGAGAGUGGUAGAGGGAGGUGGAAUUCCGGGUGUAGUGGUGAAAUGCGUAGAUAUCCGGAGGAACACCAGUGGCGAAAGCGGCCUCCUGGCCCAUUUCUGACGCUCAGACACGAAAGCUAAGGUAGCAAACGGGAUUAGAGACCCCGGUAGUCUUAGCUGUAAACGAUGUGAACUUAGUGUCGGUGGGCUUAAAUCCAUCGGUACUGAAGCAAACGCGAUAAGUUCACCGCCUGGGGACUACGGCCGCAAGGUUAAAACUCAAAGGAAUUGACGGGGCCCCGCACAAGCAGCGGAGCGUGUGGUUUAAUUCGAUGCUACACGAAGAACCUUACCAGGGUUUGACAUGCUAGUGGUAGGAAACCGAAAGGUGACCGACCCUUCGGGGAGCUAGCACAGGUGCUGCAUGGCUGUCGUCAGCUCGUGUCGUGAGAUGUUCGGUUAAGUCCGCUAACGAGCGCAACCCUCGCUGUGUGUUAUAUGUGUCACAUGGGACUGCCG
rnacentral:rRNA from 1 species